rnacentral:rRNA from 1 species
UACAGAGGUGGCAAGCGUUGUUCGGAAUUACUGGGCGUAAAGGGCGCGUAGGCGGCCUUCUAAGUCAGACGUGAAAUCCCCCGGCUUAACCUGGGAACUGCGUCUGAUACUGGAAGGCUCGAGUGCGGGAGAGGGAUGUGGAAUUCCAGGUGUAGCGGUGAAAUGCGUAGAUAUCUGGAGGAACACCGGUGGCGAAGGCGACUUCCUGGACCAAUACUGACGCUCAGGUGCGAAAGCGUGGGGAGCAAACAGG